rnacentral:rRNA from 1 species
GACGAACGCUGGCGGCGUGCUUAACACAUGCAAGUCGAACGGAAAGGCCCUGCUUUUGUGGGGUGCUCGAGUGGCGAACGGGUGCGUAACACGUGAGUAACCUGCCCUUGACUUUGGGAUAACUUCAGGAAACUAGGGCUAAUCCCGUAUAGGAUCCCCUCCUGCAUGGAGGGGAUUGGAAAGUUUCGGCGGGUGGGGAUGGACUCGCGGCUUAUCGGCUUGUUGGUGGGGUAGUGGCUUACCCAGGCUUUGACGGGUAGCCGGCCUGGGAGGGUGGCCGGCCACAUUGGGACUGAGAUACGGCCCAGACUCCUACGGUAGGCAGCAGUGGGGAAUAUUGCACAAUGGGCGGAAGCCUGAUGCAGCAACGCCGCGUGCGGGAUGACGGCCUUCGGGUUGUAAACAGCUUUCGCCUGUGACGAAGCGUGAGUGACGGUAAUGGGUAAAGAAGCACCGGCUAACUACGUG